rnacentral:lncRNA from 1 species
CAUAUCUUUCCAUAAAAAAUAUGAGACAGCUUUUUUAAAUGAAUAUCUCUGAAAGAUCUACUAAUAAGAAACCCUUCAAGAAAAAAGAAAUCAAACCCAGAAAGAAAAAGUUGGAUGCUAGAGACUAAUCAAUAUAUUUGUAGACUAAAUAAAUACUUACUGCAUAAAAUAAUGAUGACAAUGACUAAUUUUUCUCAGGGUGGGUGUUGAAGAUAGUGAAGAUCUAUGAUAUAAAAAAGCAAUUACAGCCGGGUGCAGUGACACACACCUGUAAUCCCAGCAGCUUGGAAGGCUGAGACAGGAGGAUCACAAGUACAGGAGGAUCACAAGUUUAAAGCCAGCCUCAGUAACAGAGGAGCUAAGCAAAUCAGACUCUAAAUAAAAUACAAAAUAGUGCCAGGGAUACGGCUCAGUGAUUGAGUGCCCCUGAGUUCAAUCCCUUGGUACCAAACAAAACAAAACAAUUAUAGCAGGGAGAGGCAUGAUUUGAGCUGAGUACCCUACAAAACAUAGUUUAAGAUGAGGACAGAGAUUCUAGUUAACGUCAAAUAACUAAUUUAAUAUAGUAGACACUAGCCCCAGGUGGUGAUCUAAAUUUAAAUUUAAUUAAAAAGCCAUAAGAUUUAAAAUCCAGUUUCUUUAGCUCUGACGUAUAAACAGCUUGGAAGUCAUCAUUUCUUUCCUUAAAAGAAAAAUCUAAGAAAACAGAAAAUUGAUGUUUCUUGGACCUAAAGAGACUACAGCUUCAGAGCCAAUAAUAACCCUGAAAUCAUGGAGACAAGUGAAUGCAAAGGACCACACCCAAGAUCAGCUUACCUGAGCAGAAGCCACUAGAGUCAUAAAUUGUUAGGGAUGACAGUUUAAGUGGUGAUUUUAAUUAACUGCUGGAGGCUGUACACAUACAUUCCUGAAGUCAAAAGUCAUGGGAUGUCAAGAGUGUCAGGGUGUUACCAGAGGAGAGAUAAAGCUAUAAGCCUAGAAGGUUCUAGUUCUAGAGAUCUGGCACCAAAGUAGGGAGAGAACGGAAGAAAUACUCAGGCCUUUCUCUUCUUCCACACUACCAUCUCUUUGGCUUCUUCCUAGAUCAGCUAAACCCAACUGAUAUGAAUGUAUAAGGUACCAACAGCUCCUGAAGAAACAGCAAACUAUACAUCAUUUAUCAUAGAUUUGGAAAUAUAACUCCUCAGAGGUAAUGAUGGUACAGGUUGAUUAUCCCUUAUUAGAAAUGCUGAGAACCAGAGGGUUUGAGAUUUCGGGGUUUUUUUUGUGUCAGAUUUUUAAAAUAUUUGCAAAUAUAUAAAAUAUAUUGGCAAUGAGACUCAAGUCUAAGCACAAAAUUCACUUAUGUUUUAUAUAAAUCUCAUGCACUUAGCCUGGAAGCAAUUUUGUACAAUACUUUUAGUGUGCCUGAGAAUUUUGACUGUUAUUUGAGGCCAGUAGGAAUUUCCCACUAGUAUCACCAUAUUGGUACUCAAAAGUCUUGGAUUUUGGAACAUUUAGAGUCUCAAGUUUUCAAAUAGGUGGUUUUAACCCUACAGGUAUAAAAUAUACAGGUAAAAUAUUUAAUUAUAUAAAAAUCUUAUGACAUGGAUACGGAAAAGUUUGCAUAACCAAUAUAAAUGAACAAGGAAUACAAAUAACAUAAAGUUGAACGAAAACAUAAAAACCUGCAACCUUACCAUAAAUUUGAAAGUAAAUUAAAUGAUUGCAAUGGUAUGUAAGUAAGUAUGUAUAACUUUUUAGGAAAUUAUGUAUGCUAUAUGGUUA